AGAGUUUGAUCCUGGCUCAGGAUUAACGCUGGCGGCAUGCCUAAUACAUGCAAGUCGAACGAGAGUAGCAAUACUCUAGUGGCGAACGGGUGAGUAACACGUAGGAAACCUACCUCAAAGACGAGGAUAACUACUGGAAACGGUAGCUAAAACUGGAUAGGAUAUACAAAGGCAUCUUAGUAUAUUUAAAAGUCCUUCUGGGAAUGCUAUGAGAUGGUCCUGCGGCGCAUUAGCUAGUUGGUGAGGUAAAGGCCCACCAAGGCGACGAUGCGUAGCUGUGCUGAGAGGCAAAACAGCCACACUGGGACUGAGACACGGCCCAGACUCCUACGGGAGGCAGCAGUAGGGAAUUUUCGGCAAUGGGCGAAAGCCUGACCGAGCAAUGCCGCGUGAAUGAAGAAAUUCUUCGGAAUGUAAAAUUCUGUGGUGAGGGAAGAAAGGUAUUAGAAGGAAAUGGCUAAUAUUUGACGGUACCUUACUAGAAAGCCCCGGCUAACUAUGUGCCAGCAGCCGCGGUAAUACAUAGGGGGCAAGCGUUAUCCGGAAUUAUUGGGCGUAAAGCGUGCGUAGGCGGCCACUUAAGUCUGUCGUGAAAGCCCACAGCUUAACUGUGGAGGGUCGAUGGAAACUGAGAGGCUUGAAUCUAGGAGAGGUAAGUGGAAUUCCAUGUGUAGCGGUAAAAUGCUUAGAUAUAUGGAGGAACACCAGUGGCGAAGGCGGCUUACUGGUCUAGAAUUGACGCUGAUGCACGAAAGCGUGGGUAGCAAACAGGAUUAGAUACCCUGGUAGUCCACGCCGUAAACGAUGAGCACUAAGUGUCGGACGUAAGUUCGGUGCUGAAGUUAACGCAUUAAGUGCUCCGCCUGGGGAGUACGGUCGCAAGACUGAAACUCAAAGGAAUUGACGGGGACUCGCACAAGCGGUGGAGCAUGUGGUUUAAUUCGACGCAACGCGAAAAACCUUACCAGGCCUUGACAUACCGAUGACGUCUUUAGAGAUAGAGAGUUACCUUCGGGUACAUCGGAUACAGGUGGUGCAUGGUUGUCGUCAGCUCGUGUCGUGAGAUGUUGGGUUAAGUCCCGCAACGAGCGCAACCC
rnacentral:rRNA from 1 species